rnacentral:rRNA from 1 species
GAUGAAUGCUGGCGGCGUGCUUAACACAUGCAAGUCGAGCGGUAAGGCCCUUCGGGGUACACGAGCGGCGGACGGCUGAGUAACGCGUGGGAAUUUGCCCCAAAGUGAGGAAUAACUGCUCGAAAGGGUAGCUAAUGCCGCAUAUGGUCUUCGGAUUAAAGGAUUUAUCCGCUUUGGGAGAAGCCCGCGUUGGAUUAGGUAGUUGGUAGAGUAAUAGCCUACCAAGCCAACGAUCCAUAGCUGGUCUGAGAGGAUGACCAGCCAGACUGGAACUGAGACACGGUCCAGACUCCUACGGGAGGCAGCAGUGAGGAAUAUUCCACAAUGGGCGAAAGCCUGAUGGAGCAACGCCGCGUGCAGGAUGAAGGCCUUCGGGUUGUAAACUGCUUUUAUGAGUGAAGAAUAUGACGGUAACUCAUGAAUAAGCACCGGCUAACUACGUGCCAGCCGCCGCGGUAAGAC